CGCUCCUUCCUUGUACCAGGCGUGGAGGAUCCCACAGUGUAAAAGCAAAGUAAAUACACUGCAACACGUGACAUGGCAAGACAUGGAACUGGAGAAGUCAGCGGAGGAAAGAUCAUGGAGUCACUGAAGAGUUUGAAGCUAUGGAGACAGAACAAUUCCACAUGAUAAGGCACACGGUGUGGUCACGAGAAGGAAUGGUGGUUACUGGAGCAGGCCGGUGCAGCGAUCGGAACCAUUGACCUUGCUGUUAUCAGCAUUGUGCUCUAACCAACUGAGCUAACUGGACAGCCCUCUUCUAUAUAUUAAGUGAGGUUCAUUUGGACUAUUUUUUGUCUUGUCAGAUUUCUACAUAAGGGUUGUACUUCCUUCAAUAAUUAACCAAGAAAUAUUUUCUUCUUUUAAUGCUCAGGAAACUGUCUGUUCCUUAAAGGUUGGAUAAAACUCACCUGUAAAAAACACCUUGUGAAGGGACAGUUCUUUGAUAACUUUUAAUUCCUUCCAUGGUAAUUGGUCUAUUCAGGCUUUCUUCUUCAGUCAAUUUUGAUAAUUUAUAUUUGCCUAUAAAAUGAUCCAUUCCAUCAAGAUGUUCAAUUUAUUAG